AAGCAGUUUGUCUUCUUGCAAGUAUUGAUAUUGAGUCCUGUUUACCUAUGAAUAUUAGAUUGUUAUUUCUUCAACUUAUAUUUUUGCUUUUUUAACCGCUCUUACAGUUUGGUCAAGAUGAUGUACAAUGUAUUGUAGAAAGUGUUAUUUAUUGAUUUUUUUUUUCAUUGUGGCCAGUUAGUCAUACCAUUGAUAAAAUAGUAUUCAUAUUUAAUUAAUUUAUUAGUCAUUUGCAUAUAUACAUAGUAGUAAGUACCCAUAUGAUCAAGAUAAACUGCAUGGAUAAAUCAUCUACAUUUAUAUGAUAAUGUCUAUAGCUCUAAAACAUAUAUAAUGGAUAAGCUUGUAUUUCUCGGUCACAAAACUUUAUCAACAGAUUUUCUACAGCAUAAUUGAAAUGGAACAAAACUAAACAGCAUUUGCUUAGUAAUAGAUGCAGUUGUGAAUUUCAAUAUUUAAUGUGAAUUCGAAAAUAUUUUUAAGGUUAAAAGGUAGAUAGCUAUAUAGGAGGAAAUUGGAUUUCAUAAGGACAUAGAUGCAUGACCCAAUAUUUUAUAACUCUUUACUUACAGUAGUAUGCAUAAUUCACUGCACAUGUAUAUUCCUCUGCACUUGUUUUUAUAUACAUCACACAUGAAAUGUUAUCCAUCUCUUUGCAUUUAAGGUGUUGGCUAUUGUACAAAGCAUUUCAAAGCAUUUACAGAAUUUUAUUUCUGACCUAUGGUGCUAUUUAAUUUUAACAUAUAUUUUACAGUUGUUUUAUUGCCUCACUGGGGACUUAUCUCAAAUAGAAAAGUGUCCUUGAUAACUCCUGCAUCUUUUUUUAUACUAAAAAAAUGAAUAAAAAAUUUAAUAUUUAUUCUCAUUUACAUAUCUAUAAGGGUCAAUACCUCUAUAAGUAUUGCUUUCAAAAUCUGAUUUUGUAUUCAGCAUCAACUUUUAUGUUAAAAAAAAUAGGGAUAGUGUCUACAAUUUGUGGCAGCCAUCUUGAAUCUCAGUUGUUUAGAUUUUAGAUAAAAUUAGCGACCAUCAAUAAAAAAUGCCAUUAAUUCAUGUUUUUUUAUCAUAUUCAUUGUUCAAUUUAUCCGUCCAAGAAAGUUUUAAUUUUUUUUAAACUUUAAAUGACUUGAUUUUUACGAUGAGAUAAGUAUCCACCUAAAGUCUGAUGAGGACAGUUCUUUAACUUGUGUUAUUGGUCAAUCAUAUAAAGACCUUUUAUAGUUUUUUUAAUGUCACCUAAGUAGAAUAAUUAUUCCAAAAUGAUGGUAAGAAAAUUAUUCUUCACAAUAAUGCUCCAUUUAUUAGUUUUCUCAACAUGGUCAACCUGAAUUUUAUUAAUGCCCUGUUUUCAUCAUUAGUUGUGCAUGUAAAGAUGCAGACUACUAACUGAUCAAAUGUAAAUGAAAAAUAUACUGUGCCAUAUUCUUAAUUAGAAAUAAAAAUUGUAAUUUAAUGUACCUUAAUUAGAAAUUUCUUCAUUAGUUCAUUUUCAGAAAAAGAUUGAACAUUUGUUUUUUUUUACACUUUUUCUCUCUCUAAAAUCCACAAAACUCUGAAUAAAUUUGAAUGGCCUUAUAAGGACUAAUUUUGCGACAGGGUUUAUUAAUUAUUUAAGUGAGAAUGACUGAACCUUUAAGGAAUAUUUAAUAUUAAAGGAUUGUAUAACUUAGUUUAUUUUAACCAACUUUACACAUUUUAAAUGUUUCAUACCAUAUUAAAUUAUAUUAAUUGUAUAGUAAUUUAUUCUGUACAGAUUCAGUUUGAAAUACAGAUUUAGCAUUGAAUACUUUUAUUUAUUAAAUCUAUGUAUAUUGUGUUUAGACUGACUUAACUUUUAAUCUUUGUCACAAAAACUGAACAAGUAUACUGUCAAUACAUGAUUUUACUUUAUGUAUGUAUAAUGAACAGUGAGUUAUCAAAAACUACAUAUUAUGCAAGAUUUAUUGUGAUACUGAUACAUAUUGUAGCAGAAUAACUGACAAAAAUUAAAA
rnacentral:lncRNA from 1 species